GCCAACCGCCGUCUGCGCACGCGCACUGGGAGCUGGCCGCUGGGCUGUGCCGAGCACACCGCAGCGCCCCUAGCGGCGUCCGCCGGGGAAGCCUGCGCUUGCGCCGUGGGAGCCCGGCUGCCUCCCAGCCCCUGGCGCCCGGGAGCUGCCUCAGCGGGGGACGGCAGAGGGGUGCAGGGCUGCGCUGCUCCUUCCUUCUCCGCAACAUCCCUCUGUCUCCCCUGCUCCACUGCCCCCAGUUCUCUCACUCCCACAAGUGAGCGCACAGCGGUGGGGCCCUGGCUGAGCGACCCUGGUGUCCAGGCACCGUCCUCUGCCACGCACCGGGUGCGUCCUCACUCAGCCUCCGUGACACGAGUUCAUGGCCGAGCUCCGUGGAGCUUGGCCAUGAACCCAGUUGGGAAUGAGAGCAAUGGCUGUUGGGGGGCGCCUUGAAGUCCUUUCCAGGAUGCCGCCCUGGACAGCAGCAACACAUGCUACCAUGCUGCCCCUGGCCGUGGCAUGACCAGCUGCAGUGGCAAGUAUUUUUGUGCCGCCCUCCUCCCCUGUGUUCACUGCUGGGCUCCAGGAACGUAGGCUCCCUAGUAGAUAAGUAUGCAUGGAGCAGAUCAGUGGUUCUUGAAAUGCUUACUCAGAUGUGCAUGAUCUUUUCAGAAAAGGAUUUUUGUUCUUUGCAGCGUGUUGUGCCUUGGUUUGAUGCAGGUUGUAGGCAGCUGGAAUUGAGAAAGCAGCACUACACUCUGGAAUAGAAUUGGUAAUUUCAGUAGAAGUGCACAGGAAGGUUUUCUAGGUCUCAUAAAAACAGCCCUAGCUUAAGUUUGGAGAUCAUGUUUAAUCCUGUCUCAAUCCGCUUUGGUUUUCUGCCAGUGGCACUUGAAUCUGUGUUUCUCUUUCUUCAUCCAACACACAGUAUCAGACAUUUAAGGAGAUUUGUGUGGGUGAUGGGGGAAAAAGGGAGAUCCAAGGGCCCAACAUAACAAUGGCUGAGUUCAGUGUUCAGUAAUAGUGAUGCAGUAGGUCUUUCUUCAGAUUUCUGUCCUGUGGAUGGAGGCUGCUUAUCAGAAGGCCCUGCAAACAUGAAUCUUAUUGGUCAAAUCAGACUCAGUGAUCUUUUCUGUUCUUGUGAGAAUGGAAAGAUUCUGACCACUGACUUAACACAGUCUACUGGAGACCUUGUAACAUCUUUGAUCUUAACAUUGAGACUGAAGAGGAGGUCCAGGGCACCACAUAGCUUGGAUCACAGACCAGCUGUGAAAUUUCCAAAGAGACAUGUGAAGAAAUGCAUUUGGGAGCUUUUGCAUAUGCAGUUUUGUUGAUAUGCCAGUUGAAAUCUCCCAGGAUGACAAGUCUGGAAUAUUUCACCACUGUCAACUACAAGAUGAAAGAAAUACAAGUUGCCUUACCUGAGGCAAAAUCUCUUGGGUUUUCAUGUUUGAUGCGAAGAUGAAUGCAGUGCAGCCUGUCUUCUUGUCUUGUUUGGGCCUAUGAUGUGCCAAGUAUCCUAGGAGAACAGUGUAACACAGGUCUCACUGUCAUCUAGCCAGAUCUUAGUGAUGCAUGCUAUCCUCGAGUGUUUCAUCGCUGAUGAGGAUGCGUGUUGCUGAAGGUAAGAUCUGGUGUUCAUUAGCAUCAACUUUAUUUCCUGUUGCUUUGUGCUUUCCAUCUGGUGAUGGAUAAUGGAGCUUGGUGCUAGGUGUCUACUUUUCUAUCUCCUCAGACAGUUCCUUCAAAUUUGAACCAUGAUAGGUAAUGUGGUAGAUGAUGCCAUGGGAUGAUCUGAGUGGAGGAGCAGUUACCACAUACUAUGGGAAAGGCGAAUCUGAUGAAAAUAUUUAAAACUGUAACCUGGCUGAGGCACAGAAAUGGGUAGAACUGAAGCAGCAGUGGAUGUGCUGGAAGCAUGGUAUAAUAAUAGCAAUAGAAAUUACAAUAGCAACAAUAAUAGUAGGUAGGGUUGAGACUGCAAAAUUUAUUUCAAGGAAACGAGUAUCUGAAGUAACACUUACUCCUUUUGGUAUUGUCACGACACACCAAUUGUUCUUAUAUGUUUUGUCAAGAUCAUAGACAGGAGGAAGAGAGAUAGCACUAACUUGAGUCAUAUCUGAGUUACAGCCAUAGCACAACUUCCUGACCAGAGGUGGGAGAGCAGAGCAGAGCUGGGGCUCAGGGCUUCUUACCUGUAAGAAGGCAGAACUGUUUUCUAGCCAGGGUUGGAGAACAAAAGGCAAUGAAAAGAAUGCUGUCAACUUUUGUGACUUUAGCACAACAGCAUUUUAUAUUUUUCUUAGCACCCCAGUCACAAAGUAUGAGCUCUCACUUUAAGAGGAGUUCUAGUACUUACGGUUGCGAGCGAGGCUUGAGAACAGGAAGUAUACUGAGCAGGCUUCAAAAACAGCAAGCAAGCAAAAACCUCAAUCUUACUUUUUUUUCAAAGUCACAUUUUACUGGGGCCUAAAUCCUGAUUUUGGAAUGGUCAAGAGUUUGCAAUUUUAGUAUCAUUUAUAUUUUUGGGUGUAAGCAGGUCAUGUACCCAACUUCCUUAUUGAGGUCAGUCAGCACCAUGUCCAGGGAGUUCUCUCAGCCAGUUGAUUUUACAGGAGAUGGUCUUCUCCCCAGAGUAAAAGGAAAGCAACAAAUCAAACCAGUGUGCCAACAGCAAACAAAACCAAACACAAACUUGCAGUCUUUCCUCAUAUCUUGGGAAGAAAGAUACAGGCUCUGUAUUUUUCCCUAUGCACCAGCAUCUCCGUUUGCACUCCGCUCUCAGAACUUUAACUCUUUUUUGUAGCUCCACCCGGCUUUAAUGCUCUUCAGUAGCAGCUGGCCUUCUGGGCCUCCAGCCAAACAGCUUACACGCUGUUGCCUACCUGUCACGGAGGUUCCAGCUCCUGAAGGCUGUACUUCCUUACACUGGGCCAGAACACAUUUGUGCUAGGUGCUGAACAAACGUGGAACAAAGAGAGAUUUGCUAUGACCAGACCCAUUCUUCUCAACCACAUGAGCGUGAUGAGGAUGAAAAGGUGAUAUACAUUGUUAUCAUCACAAGCAAGGGAGGAAAGAAGUUAAAGAAACACCAAGGAACAUACAUAGAGACUGACUAGGAUUUGCUUACAGGAGGGAGGAAGCUCUAAAUAUCCUCAAGCUAACUUUACCAUAAUGUUUUGGUUAGAAGUAUAAUCCAUGCAAGUUUUUAUAAGCAUCAUAUAGAUGGAUCUUGAAUCAUUUGAGACAUGUAGCGCAGCUGAAGUUUCAGUUCUGUGUACUGAGUCCUGGCUGAAGUAGAACAAGAGUCAUCCAGCUAACUCUUAAAUGCUAUGUUUCAGAUAGUUUUGUGUGUGUCCUUAAGAAUGCCUUCACAUAACACAGCUCAGAUUUCAAUGUGGAGACUGUAUUUUUUCUUUAAUAUUCAUCUAAUGCAUUAGUUCUAACAUCUUUCAAGUGGAACAAAAGAUGUGACAAACAUGGACAACUUAAAAUAAGACAACUACUUAAGAAUUCUUUGGUAGUGUUAUAACUAUCUGUCUCUUCUGAUUUAACUUGGUAGGAGACUCAAUAUACUUUAUGAAGAGCUGCUCCAUUUCUCUUAGAAUAGUUAUACCUAUAAUAAUGAAUCACCUUUUUUUUUUUUUGCUCUUGAUUGGGCAACUAGUCCUUCAACAGCUAUAAAUCCUAAUAGAAUGUAAUAAAGACAUAUGAAAAAAUUAUCCCUUCUCAGGAAACCUGAUUUAGAAUUAGCAGCAGGCAGUAAGAAAAAGAUAAGAAGAGAAUAUCAAACAAAAGCCCUCAGAACUUCUAAAAAAAUUUUCUGUUUUGUAUUUGAAAAAGCAAUGAUAAACAAUUGCCAGUAUAAAAUAAUGCUUUAACGGUCAGUUCUGCAAAUUCAGCCUGUGCUUUGAGAUCUAACAUGAUUUUUUUUUUGCUUCUUUUUUCUGCAGAGCCAAGGGUAACUAGAGGUCAAAGUUGGUCCUCCGUCAUGAAGUUCUGUUACUUUCAAUCAAUCACUUUCAGUGUGUUUACGUAGCUAAGACUUAUUGGAACAAUUCAGUUGAUAAUGGCCAUUACUUAUCAGAAUCCAGUUUACUCUCUCCCUCCCCCCCACUCCACCCAUCUGGGUUGCUCCAGUUUUAUAGGAGUGUGUGUACAUGUUUAAGAUUUUUUCUGACAAAUGUCAGUUUAUCAAGGGAACUUAAGUUUCUGCUUAAUUUAAGCCCCUAAGUAAACAUCCAUCUAUUAAUCCAUUUGGAGCCACCAGACAUGAAAGUAUUCAAAUAAAGAGCAGAUGUGCUUAAGCAAUUUUUACAUAGUCAUCUUUAAGAAUAAAUUCAGCUUUGAAAAAUAACUAACACCGCCUUGUGAGAAAGGACAUUAUUAAUAAUCUCAUUUUAUGGAUACUGAAAGUGCAGCAGAGAGUUUAAAUGAUUUGCCUAGGUCAUGCAGAAAGUCUGUGGUCACCUCUAUACAUGCAGAUAAAAGUCAUGAUUGGAUCCAAUGCGUGAUCCACACAAUUGUACCUCCUGCCAUGCUACACAUGCAAGACAGGAGACAUGAUUGUGGGAUUGUGCGUUAGAUCCAAUUGCACCAUGUUGUUUGUGCAGGGGGACCCCAAUCCUGGGCUCCCCUGGCACUAGCAAGAAGCAGGCUCCCAUGGCUGGAAGCCCCCUUUGUUAACGGAGCUCUCAACCAUGGGGCCACGUGCAGGCAGGGCCCAGAGACCCUGCAGCUCUCAUGCCUGACUGCACAAUAUGUCAACUGUGGAACUCCCAGUCCCUGCUGCAGGUGAGGACCUGGACAAGAGCCCCGUGUGGGCAGGAGAUUUCUUCCCUCUCCCCCUCCGCCAGCUCUGGGGAUCACAGCACUACAAUCCCCAGGGCUUGGAGUUUUCAUGCUGGGGAAGCGUACCCCUGCAGCUGGGAAUACUGUCAGUUGACAGGGCUUGUGGCUGAAGGGAAGAGACCCUGCUACACAUGCAAAUUAAAUUUGAUAGCAACCAGCUAUAACAUUAGUACACAUUUUGAGGUCAAACUUAAUAGCUGGUUUGAGCUUUUUAUCAUUUGAUAGCUACUUUGCAGACAUAGCUGGUCUUGAGGUAAUUGUACAAUUAACUAGUUAAUUGCGCAAGACCUGUAACAUGUAUAAACAAAGAACAGACUCAAGAUUUACCCUUCUGAGACUGAUUCCAUUGCCUUAACCAAACCACCGUCUUUCCAUAAGGAAUGUAGAUAUAAUACUGUGUAAUUAAUGGUUAUCUAAAUAAUUUGAUGUAGAUAAACUGGAUAUUUUGAACCAUACCAGUUAAACUCCAAUUCUGUAAAUGCCCAACAAAGCAUGUAUUUGCAGGAUCAAGAUUUUGCACUGUGAGGAAGAGUUACUAUAAUGCAUUUUCUUUAUUUUACAAUUUUUCUGUAUGCAUUGGGUCAAAUUUAUCACUCAUGUAAUUAUUGAAGUUAAACCAAGAAUGAAAUUUGCCCAUUAUGUUCACAGUAAGUUAGCUAGAAUCUCAUGAAUAAACAUGCUUUUUUAAAACAUAUCAAAUAUGUUUCGCUCUGUGAUCCUAAUAGGCAGGUAAAAACAAUUCAUUCUUAUGCCUCGGCGGCAAGAUGUGCUUGGAAACGGUGUUGACCUCAAUUGCUAAGACUUCGGUCACAUGUACAAAGCAGAGUCAGGAUUUCCUAAGGAAUCUGAAAAAUAUGCAUAGUACUUAAAAAAAAAAUGUUGCAUGUCAGUUACCACUGCCAAGCGCAUUGUUGUGCAUAAUGGUUCAUUGUACUGAAUUUCAACCCUUGAUUAAAUUACAGUAUUUUGUGGUGAGAUUUAUGGUUAAGAUAAUAUAACUUAAAAUGACAAGCCAAAUGUCAACCUCAUGUUUAAGUUGAAUUUGGCAGCAUAUUAAUGACUGUUACCAUUUAGGACUCCCCAAUUUUUCAAAGAAAUGAUGCCAAAGGGUUUUCUGAUAACCAUGUAUGCUAAAUGUAUAAAUGCUAGACAAGGCUGAGGAUCAGGUACCAUUUCGAUGGAGACAUCUUGAACCUGCGCAGGCUCCAAGCGAGCGCCAAAGUUCAGACAGCCACGCUUCAUGACUUCCUCUUCACUGACGACUGCGUGUUAUGUACAGGCUCACAGGCUGACAUGUAAUGGUCAAUGGACCUAUUCCCAUCAGUCUGCAACAGCUUUUGACUCACUAGCAACACGAAGAAGACUGAAGUGAUGCUUUCAUUCUGUGCUUGGCACAACACUCCAGGAACCACACGCCUCAGUUAACGGUCAACAACUGUCAAUGGUCAACAAGUUUGCCUAUCUAGGCAGCAUGUUCUCCUGUGCUGUCCACAUCAACGACAAAGUCAAUGUGAGGCUAGCAAAAGCCAGCGUGGCUUUCGGCAGACUCUGUAAGUCAGUCUGGGACUGCAGAGGCAUUGGAAUGUUGACAAAACUGAAGGUUUACAAAGUCAUCAUUCUCCCAACCCUCCUUUAUGCCUGUGAAACCUGGACCAUCUACCAGUGUCAUGCCAAGAAACUAAACCACUUCCACCUGUGCUGCCUGUGAAAGAUACUAAAGAUCAAGUGGCAGGACAAGAUUCUGGGCAUUGAGGUGCUCAGAAGAUCAGCUCUCCCCAGUAUCCAUACUCUACUGAAACUGGUGCAGCCAAGAUGGGCCGGCUACCUUUCAAGAAUGCCUGAAACUCGCCUGCCAAAUUAAAUCUUCUACAGCAAACUGUGAAAUGGAGUAUGCUUUCUCGGCACAUCAAACACAUCACGGUACAAGGACACCCUAAAGAGUUUUGGCAUUGACCUGUUGUCAUGGGAGCAAAUUGCUUAUGAUCAUCCAUCUUAGAGGUCAUCAGUCCAGAGUGGAGAACUAGCCUUCGAGCAGCGGUGCAUGGCAGAGGCAGUGAGGAAGCACAUGGCCAGGAAACAAAGACCUCUCAUGUUCAUUCCUUGUCACACCCCUGCCCUUGCUACAGCAGAUUGUUCAAGGCAAACAUUGGUCUUAUAAGUCACCCAAGUGCCCAUGUGACCUAGCCUCCACCCCCCUCCUCUCUUUUUCCCCAAUCCCUUUUUCUUUGCCUCUUCCUUUCUCUCUUCUCUCUCCCUGACCCCUGCCUUCCCCACUGGAUGUGGUCAUCUUUGCUUGCAAAGAACGAACAGCAGACAAGGCUGACUGAUUCUUAUUUAAAAAAUGUGGACUUGCGCAGGCAAUGUCUAAUACUAAAUUAGGAUUUUAAAGCUUUCAGACUCUGGAACAAAGUUCUGGUUUGUUCUUUUUUUUUUGGCAUCAGACACAGUUUUUCCAGCCAAAAAAUGUUGUAUGUUCAGUUAUUUCCCUCUGUCCUCAGCUUUUUAUAUGAAUUCCUUGUACAGAUGCAUGCAGUAAGCAGAAAAAUAAUUAGCAUCUGUUUUCUCUUAUUUGCAAACUAAAAUUCUGCCUUUUUAAAUAGGAAUAUGGGAUUUGCAACACAGAGCACAUCACUGGAUCAUUUAACCCAGAAUCGCCACCAUAGCAGUAGCCCAUAUCACACACUUUUGAAGAAGAAAAGAAAAAGAAAAGUUUGUCUCAGUUAACAUGAUACUUGCUUUCAGCAUUAGCAAUAUAGUUCUACAAACCCUACCUGAAACAGAACUGUUGCCUUGAAAAUUAACAGCAAUACUAGCGGUGAGGUAGUGACCUCACCCUACCAGUCAGCACCUGGAGUAUGAUUUUUUCAAUGACUUAGGACUUGGUGAAUUUAAUGAUGUCCAUAUACUUGGGCAAGACAAGCAUUAACAGUCAAGUUAACUUAUGUACCUUGCAUUUGUGUUUCAGUGCCUUGCUUUAGUUUAGACUCCUUUGUAAACACUAGACUUGAUAAAAAGCAGGUUAUCUGCUCCUUGGAGAUUUUUAUUUUUAGGAGAAAACAACGUCCCGUUUAGUCUUGUUACUGAACAGCCCCAUGUUUCCCUUCACAUCUGUAUAUGCAGAUGUGGCACAGGCCAACAGCUAGAGUUUGAACAGUGGUGAUGAGUUGCCUGCUCCCAAUUCCACCCAAUCAUGUGGAAGUUUCUCUGCAGAGAAUUUGAAGUGUUCCAACUCUGCAGAUUGAAAAGACCAGAACAAAAGAGCAAGGGGAUGAGGUGAGGUGAUGACUGUGAAAGCUUGGCUGGACCCACAUAUGAAAUUCAAAUGAUCAAAUUAAAAUAAGAGUGUAUCUUGCACAAGAAUACAAGAUCGUGACUGGGACCAUGCAAGAUGAAGCAAUCCCAAUUGAUUUAACCUCCUGUACUAGUUGCAAGUAUACCCAAUGUUUUAUUAUGGAAAACCAAUCAUAAAUAACUGCAUAUUCGUAUGUGACUAUCCUUCUUGUUGACACAUCCUCCCUUGAUUAAGGCAUAUUUCUCAGAACAGGCAUUCAAUAUCUGCUUGGGGUUUUGCAAAUGUCUCCAGAGACCAUCACCGGUUCAGAAUAUUUUGGGUUCUGCACCACUGUUAAAACAACUACUCAAAACAGGGUCCUGUGAUCGAUGCCCUAAGGUAUCCCAUUCAGUCAAUCAAGACCCAUGCCAUUUGCUUGAAGUAUAAGCUCUGGACUGAUCAAAAGUUUGCAAAAACAAGGUUCACAACUGGACAACCCAAAAGGAGAUCUGAGCAGUUAGCAAUUAUAAUAUGAUGGUCCCUUUCUACCUGCUUUGUUUGGACUUAAUCAAAAAAAUGUCAAGGUGGAAUGCUUUGAAGCUAUACAAUUAAAGACUAUAAGAAUGAAACAGAGUUGCUGGCAAGUGCUCCAGGAGAGAGAAAGAAAUCACUGCAAGACUCUAACCUGCACCCAGCUGAUCACUCUGGGCACUGGAUCCAUGCCCAGUGAAGGCUGUAAAACCGAAACCGCUUCCUGCCUGCAUUGGUGAAAGACACUAUUGCAGCUAACAUAUACUAGGACUUUUGUGAUAGUUCAUUAAUUGACUAUUGGAAAGGAGUCUUUUUCUGUCAUUUAGUGCUGUAGCUUGUUUGUUGUAUAGUUAUUAAAGCCUUUCUCUCAUUAAUUGAA